UUGGGGAAGGUCCGUGGCCCAGUGACAGAGCAUCUGCCUUGCACGCAGAAGGUCCUGGGUUCAAUUGCCGGCACCUCAAA